AGAGUUUGAUCCUGGCUCAGAAUGAACGCUGGCGGCGUGCUUAACACAUGCAAGUCGCACGAGAACGCUUUAGCUUGCUAAAGCAAGUAAAGUGGCGCACGGGUGAGUAACGCGUGGGCAAUCUACCUCCGAAUCGGGGAUAACAUUGCGAAAGCGAUGCUAAUACCGGAUGACAUCCUGAAGGCUUUGGUUUUAAGGAUCAAAGGUGGCCUCUACAAGUAAGCUACUGUUUGGAGAUGAGCCCGCGUACCAUUAGCUUGUUGGUAGGGUAACGGCCUACCAAGGCGACGAUGGUUAGCUGGUCUGAGAGGAUGAUCAGCCACACUGGAACUGACACACGGUCCAGACUCCUACGGGAGGCAGCAGUGAGGAAUUUUGCGCAAUGGGGGAAACCCUGACGCAGCAACGCCGCGUGAGUGAUGAAGGCUUUCGGGUCGUAAAGCUCUGUCAAGUGGGAAGAAACCACGAGGUGAUAAUAUCGCUUUGUGCUGACGGUACCACUGAAGGAAGCACCGGCUAACUCCGUGCCAGCAGCCGCGGUAAUACGGGGGGUGCAAGCGUUAUUCGGAAUCAUUGGGCGUAAAGGGCGCGUAGGCGGUUUGUUAAGUCAGAUGUGAAAGCCCGGGGCUCAACCCCGGAAGUGCAUUUGAUACUGGCGGACUUGAGUAUGGGAGAGGGAAGUGGAAUUCCUGGUGUAGAGGUGAAAUUCGUAGAUAUCAGGAGGAACACCGGUGGCGAAGGCGACUUCCUGGACCAAUACUGACGCUGAGGCGCGAAGGCGUGGGUAGCAAACAGGAUUAGAUACCCUGGUAGUCCACGCAGUAAACGGUGAUCACUAGGUGUAGCGGGUAUUGACCCCUGCUGUGCCGCAGUUAACGCAUUAAGUGAUCCGCCUGGGGAGUACGGCCGCAAGGUUAAAACUCAAAGGAAUUGACGGGGGCCCGCACAAGCGGUGGAGCAUGUGGUUUAAUUCGACGCAACGCGAAGAACCUUACCUGGGUUUGACAUCUCGGGGAUUUUUUGGAAACAAGAAAGUGCCCUUCGGGGAGCCCGAAGACAGGUGCUGCAUGGCUGUCGUCAGCUCGUGUCGUGAGAUGUUGGGUUAAGUCCCGCAACGAGCGCAACCCUUAUCUUUAGUUACCAUCACUUCGGGUGGGGACUCUAAAGAUACUGCCCCGGUCAACGGGGAGGAAGGUGGGGAUGACGUCAAGUCCUCA
rnacentral:rRNA from 1 species